AUUGAACGCUGGCGGCAGGCCUAACACAUGCAAGUCGAACGAGUGGCGGACGGGUGAGUAAUGUCUGGGAAACUGCCUGAUGGCGGGGGAUAACUACUGGACACGGUAGCUAAUACCGCAUACCAUCAGAUGUGCCCAGAUGGGAUGAGCUAGUUGGUGGGGUAACGGCUACCCAAGGCGACGAUCCCUAGCUGGUCUGCGAGGAUGACCAGCAACACGGGAACUGAGACACGGUCCAGAAGCCUACGGGAGGCAGCAGGGGGGAAUAUUGCACAAUGGGCGCAAGCCUGAUGCAGCCAUGCCGCGUGUAUGAAGAAGGCCUUAGGGUUGUAAAGUACUUUCAGCGGGGAGGCGUGACCCGCAGAAGAAGCACCGGCUAACUCCGUGCCAGCAGCCGCGGUAAUAC
rnacentral:rRNA from 1 species